UACGGGGGGAGCAAGCGUUGUUCGGAUUUACUGGGCGUAAAGGGCGCGUAGGCGGCCACCGCAAGUCAGUUGUGAAAUCUCUGGGCUUAACCCAGAACGGUCAGCUGAUACUGCGGGGCUAGAGUGCAGAAGGGGCAACUGGAAUUCUCGGUGUAGCGGUGAAAUUCGUAGAUAUCAAGCAGAACACCUGCGGCGAAGGCGGCCUUCUGGACGAUGACUGACGCUGAGACGCGAAAGCGUGGGGAGCAAACAGG
rnacentral:rRNA from 1 species